rnacentral:lncRNA from 1 species
ACUGGGCCUCCACUGAGUCUCCAUGUGUCAAGCAGUACAGAGAAACCCCCUCUAGAUGGCAGCAGAGGCUCUUGGAUCUACCCUGUCUAUCCACCAGUUUAGUGACCUUGUUCCAUCAAUAUGUCCAUACUACUUCACAACCCAUUUGAGGUCUUGACCAGCAAUGUCCCAUUGGGCUCAACCAAGCCGAGAGUGAGGUUCUAGAAAGAGGACUGACUUUCAUACCAACUCCUAAACAGGUGGACUGACUUUCAUACCAACUCCUAAACAGGUAGACUGACUUUCAUACCAACUCCUAAACAGGUAGACUGACUUUCAUACCAACUCCUAAACAGAUGGACUGACUUUCAUACCAACUCCUAAACAGGUGGACUGACUUUCAUACCAACUCCUAAACAGGUGGACUGACUUUCAUACCAACUCCUAAACAGGUGGACUGACUUUCAUACCAACUCCUAAACAGGUGGACCUACUUUCAUACCAACUCCUAAACAGGUGGACUGACUUUCAUACCAACUCCUAAACAGGUGGACUGACUUUCAUACCAACUCCUAAACAGGUGGACUGACUUUCAUACCAACUCCUAAACAGGUGGACUGACUUUCAUACCAACUCCUAAACAGAUGGACUGACUUUCAUACCAACUCCUAAACAGGUGGACUGACUUUCAUACCAACUCCUAAACAGGUGGACUGACUUUCAUACCAACUCCUAAACAGGUGGACUGACUUUCAUACCAACUCCUAAACAGGUGGACUGACUUUCAU